AGAUUGAACGCUGGCGGCAGGCCUAACACAUGCAAGUCGAGCGGUAGAGAGGUGCUUGCAUCUCUUGAGAGCGGCGGACGGGUGAGUAAUGCCUAGGAAUCUGCCUAGUGGUGGGGGAUAACGUUCGGAAACGGACGCUAAUACCGCAUACGUCCUACGGGAGAAAGCGGGGGACCUUCGGGCCUCGCGCCAUUAGAUGAGCCUAGGUCGGAUUAGCUAGUUGGUGAGGUAAUGGCUCACCAAGGCGACGAUCCGUAACUGGUCUGAGAGGAUGAUCAGUCACACUGGAACUGAGACACGGUCCACGACUCCGUACGGGAGCAGCAGGUAGGGAAUUAUUGGACAAGUGGCGAAAGUCC
rnacentral:rRNA from 1 species